AGCCUUCGGCUUAACCGGAGAAGUGCAUCGGAAACUGGAUAACUUGAGUGCAGAAGAGGGUAGUGGAACUCCAUGUGUAGCGGUGGAAUGCGUAGAUAUAUGGAAGAACACCAGUGGCGAAGGCGGCUACCUGGUCUGCAACUGACGCUGAGACUCGAAAGCAUGGGUAGCGAACAGGAUUAGAUACCCUGGUAGUCCAUGCCGUAAACGAUGAGUGCUAGGUGUUGGAGGGUUUCCGCCCUUCAGUGCCGGAGCUAACGCAUUAAGCACUCCGCCUGGGGAGUACGACCGCAAGGUUGAAACUCAAAGGAAUUGACGGGGGCCCGCACAAGCGGUGGAGCAUGUGGUUUAAUUCGAAGCUACGCGAAGAACCUUACCAGGUCUUGACAUCUUGCGCCAACCCUAGAGAUAGGGCGUUUCCUUCGGGAACGCAAUGACAGGUGGUGCAUGGUCGUCGUCAGCUCGUGUCGUGAGAUGUUGGGUUAAGUCCCGCAACGAGCGCAACCCUUGUUACUAGUUGCCAGCAUUAAGUUGGGCACUCUAGUGAGACUGCCGGUGACAAACCGGAGGAAGGUGGGGACGACGUCAGAUCAUCAUGCCCCUUAUGACCUGGGCUACACACGUGCUACAAUGGACGGUACAACGAGUCGCGAACUCGCGAGGGCAAGCAAAUCUCUUAAAACCGUUCUCAGUUCGGACUGCAGGCUGCAACUCGCCUGCACGAAGUCGGAAUCGCUAGUAAUCGCGGAUCAGCAUGCCGCGGUGAAUACGUUCCCGGGCCUUGUACACACCGCCCGUCACACCAUGAGAGUUUGUAACACCCAAAGUCGGUGGGGUAACCUUUUAGGAGCCAGCCGCCUAAGGUGGGACAGAUGAUUAGGGUGAAGUCGUAACAAGUAGC
rnacentral:rRNA from 2 species